GCCGGAGCCGCGCUGCCUCAAUAAGCCCUGUGAAUAUUGCCAGGACCCGUCGCUUUGUUCGGCAUUAUUCCCCACAAUGGCUAUCACACUUUGGAAGUAAUUUUAAAAAGGGAAUCAAAAUAGUGGUACUUUUAAGGCUUUUGUUUCUCUUCGCGCCCGCCCUGCAUUCUCUCUCUCUUUCUCUCGCUCUCUCCCCCUCUCUCAUUCAUCCACCUCCAUUAUACUGACAAAUUAAAUAAACCACUCCACUGCCUAAGAGCCUGCGACCGGGGCUGGGUGGCAGAGAGUCUGCAGGAGCCGGGAGAGCCGAGCCCGGAGCGGCUCUCUCCGGCGCUCCGUCUCUGCCCCCUUCCCCUGCGUCUUGCUCUUUUCCUCGUGCGCUCCAGCACCGGGCCCCUGACGUGGCAAGCUGAAGACCUAGCGGAGGUCUUGAGGUGGGAGGUGGGGACCUGGCGAGCCUCCCUCCCACCCAGCUGGCCCUGCAGCAGGUGGAGAAAAGCCUGGCGGAGCAGCAGGUAGAUGCGGUUCACGACUGGUGCGAGGCUUCCAGGCUGGACACCUGAUGCAGGUUAUGGAGGAUCACAGGUGGCCGACCAGUGCAGAAUGCAUGUAUGGUGGACAUCAUUUUAAAAAGGAAAAUUGCUAAGACAUUGUAUGUAGAGCCCUAUAAUUUUCAAUAAAUUAUAUCUGGACAGAUUUGAGCA
rnacentral:lncRNA from 1 species